rnacentral:rRNA from 1 species
GUCCACGCCCUAAACGAUGUCUACUAGUUGUCGGGUCUUAAUUGACUUGGUAACGCAGCUAACGCGUGAAGUAGACCGCCUGGGGAGUACGGUCGCAAGAUUAAAACUCAAAGGAAUUGACGGGGACCCGCACAAGCGGUGGAUGAUGUGGAUUAAUUCGAUGCAACGCGAAAACCUUACCUACCCUUGACAUGGCUGGAAUCCCCGAGAGAUUGGGGAGUGCCCGAAAGGGAACCAGUACACAGGUGCUGCAUGGCUGUCGU